rnacentral:rRNA from 1 species
CAGCCGCGGUAAUACGGAGGGUGCAAGCGUUAAUCGGAAUUACUGGGCGUAAAGCGCGCGUAGGUGGCUUGAUAAGCCGGUUGUGAAAGCCCCGGGCUCAACCUGGGAACGGCAUCCGGAACUGUCAAGCUAGAGUGCAGGAGAGGAAGGUAGAAUUCCCGGUGUAGCGGUGAAAUGCGUAGAGAUCGGGAGGAAUACCAGUGGCGAAGGCGGCCUUCUGGACUGACACUGACACUGAGGUGCGAAAGCGUGGGUAGCAAACAGGAUUAGAUACCCUGGUAGUCCACGCCGUAAACGAUGUCGACCAGCCGUUGGGUGCCUAGCGCACUUUGUGGCGAAGUUAACGCGAUAAGUCGACCGCCUGGGGAGUACGGCCGCAAGGUUAAAACUCAAAUGAAUUGACGGGGGCCCGCACAAGCGGUGGAGCAUGUGGUUUAAUUCGAUGCAACGCGAAGAACCUUACCUACUCUUGACAUCCUGCGAAUUCGGUAGAAAUACCUUAGUGCCUUCGGGACGCAGAGACAGGGUGCAUGCGUCGUCAGCUCGUGU